AGCGAACGCUGGCGGCAGGCCUAACACAUGCAAGUCGAGCGCCCCGCAAGGGGAGCGGCAGACGGGAGAGUAACACGUGGGAACGUACCCUUUGGUUCGGAACAACCCAGGGAAACUUGGGCUAAUACCGGAUAAGCCCUUAUGGGGAAAGAUUCAUCGCCGAAGGAUCGGCCCGCGUCUGAUUAGCUAGUUGGUGAGGUAACGGACCACCAAGGCGACGAUCAGUAGCUGGUCUGAGAGGAUGAUCAGCCUCACUGGGACUGAGGCACGGCCCAGACUCCUACGGGAGGCAGCAGUGGGGAAUAUUGGACAGGGGGCGCAAGCCUGAUCCAGCCAUGCCGCGUGGGUGAUGAAGGCCCUAGGGUUGUAAAGCCCUUUCGGCGGGGAAGAUAAUGACGGUACCCGCAGAAGAAGCCCCGGCUAACUUCGUGCCAGCCGCCGCCGUAA
rnacentral:rRNA from 1 species